GGCUGCGUGUCAAGUCUAUGGACUCGACUCUUGCACAUCUACGUCUUAGGUUUGCGCCAAUUCGUGGUAAGCUUGGGUCAUAGAGACUCAUAGGUGUUAUAAAGACUCGCUGGUGUUUGUCUCCUUGAGGCAUACGGCUUUAACCAAAACUCUCAAAGUUUGACCUCAAAUCAGGUAGGAGUACCCGCUGAACUUAAGCAUAUCAAUAAGCGGAGGAAAAGAAACCAACCGGGAUUGCCUUAGUAACGGCGAGUGAAGCGGCAAAAGCUCAAAUUUGAAAUCUGGCGUCUUCGACGUCCGAGUUGUAAUUUGAAGAAGGCGACUUUGUAGCUGGUCCUUGUCUAUGUUCCUUGGAACAGGACGUCAUAGAGGGUGAGAAUCCCGUGUGGCGAGGAUCCCAGUUAUUUGUAAAGUGCUUUCGACGAGUCGAGUUGUUUGGGAAUGCAGCUCUAAGUGGGUGGUAAAUUCCAUCUAAAGCUAAAUAUUGGCGAGAGACCGAUAGCGAACAAGUACAGUGAUGGAAAGAUGAAAAGAACUUUGAAAAGAGAGUGAAAAAGUACGUGAAAUUGUUGAAAGGGAAGGGCAUUUGAUCAGACAUGGCGUUUGCUUCGGCUUUCGCUGGGCCAGCAUCAGUUUUAGCGGUUGGAUAAAUCCUCGGGAAUGUGGCUCUGCUUCGGUAGAGUGUUAUAGCCCGUGGGAAUACAGCCAGCUGGGACUGAGGAUUGCGACUUUUGUCAAGGAUGCUGGCGUAAUGGUUAAUGCCGCCCGUCUUGAAACACGGACCAAGGAGUCUAACGUCUAUGCGAGUGUUUGGGUGUAAAACCCGUACGCGUAAUGAAAGUGAACGUAGGUG
rnacentral:rRNA from 1 species